AUCAGUAGAUGAUUAAUUCAUCUUUUCCUUAUAAUUGGAGAAAUGUCAAUGGCUCGUAUUGCCGGUGUAAACAUUCCGGAC
rfam:Glycine soja cultivar W05 scaffold19423_6, whole genome shotgun sequence.